rnacentral:rRNA from 1 species
CCCUUAGAUGUUCUGGGCAGCACGCGCGCUACAAUGGUCUUCGCAAACGGAUGCAUUCUCGAAGGAGAAUGCCAAUCUUGGAAUCUAUGCCUUGGUCGGGACAGUUGCUUGCAAUUUUUCGACUCGAACCAGGAAUUCCUUGUAAUCGUGAUUCAACACAUCACGAUGAAUACGUCCCUGCCCUUUGUACACACCGCCCGUCGCUCCUACCGAUCGAAGAGUUAGGUGAAUUGUUUUGAUCGAUAAGAUUUGACUAUGGUCAACUCUCGUUGUGAAAUUCUGUGAAUCUGACUGUUUAGAGGAAGGAAAAGUCGUAACA